rnacentral:lncRNA from 1 species
CCGCCUUCCCGGUGUAACUGAGAGCUUGCCUUGUUCAGAUGAGAUCUGAAAACUGAGCCAGUCAGGUUGUCCAUACAAUUUGAAAGGAAUUUCCACUAUAAAAAUAACCACACAGUGAGGUCUUGCUUACUGGACUUACUGGCCUAGCUGUCGCAUUAACAACACUUACCUCAGGGACACCAAAAAUAUGCCAGCACUUGAGUCAAUUAUUAACCCAAUACUCAUAUCGAUAUGGGGCAAACAAGUAAAUGCAUGGCCUUUUAAA